AGUCGUUCCCGCGCAUGCUCAGCAGACUCGCUCAGACAUCACUCCAGCUGGAUGGUGAGGAGACGUACGGUGUUGGCUAUUCCGGAUAUCAAGUUAACAAGUGUUCACUUCAUCUAAAUACUGAUAUGGUGCUCUCACUUUUCCCUGCCGGCAGUGUGCCGGAAGUCCCGAUAAGAUGCGGCAGUUUUAUCGCCCUCGCCACGUAAAUGAAGACAGAUGUGAGAGGAUCAAGACUAAGCAUGAUUAGAUGCACUUGUUUGGAAUGAAGAGUUGAAGAUUUUACUAACGAGUGCGCCAGACAAAAGGAACAAAUGAAAGAAAAAAUGUUUGUGAAAAUGUGAGUUCAACAAUUGGUGAAGAGAAAGAAUGUGUGUGUUCGUGCGUGCGUUUGAAGAACCUUUUUGUGGCGAGCUGGAGAAGGAAUUGAAGCGCGACGUCCAUUUGUGAUGAAGCUAAAAGAAGGAGUGAUGGAUGAGCCAAAGUGUUGAGAACUGAUAUCUUCAUCAUGUCCUUCUUCUUCUCCUUCGUCUUUUAUUUAUUUAUUUUUCGUCUCCUUAUAUGUUUCUUUUCUUGUUCUUUUCUUCUUACUGUUAAUGUUUUUGUUAUUUUUCGUCUACAUAUACGUUUUUCUUGUUCCUUUUUCGUUAAUGCUACUGUUCUUGUUAUAUUUGUUGUUGUUGAAGCUAUUGCCCGUCCGUGGCUUUAUUGAUAUAUUGAUAUAUUGAUGUUUAGCUUAUCAUUCUUGUUGUUUUUACUAUUAUUGUUGUUGUUAUUAAUGAUGAUGGUGGUUAUGAUGACGAUGAUGAUGAUGGUGAUGAUGGUGAUGGUGAUGAUGGUGAUGGUGAUGAUAGUGAUGGUGAUGGUGAUGGCGACAACAUUGCACCAAUAUAAUAAUAACAGUUUUUACCCCUUCAUCGUGGUACUAAUACCCUUGAUAUUGCUUCCAGAGAGAGAGAGAGAGAGAGAGAGAGAGAGAGAGAGAGAGAGAGAGAGAGAGAGAGAGAGAGAGAGAGAGAGAAAACUACUCAUAUAUUUACUUCUUUCUUAUGGUUCUUUCAUUUU